rnacentral:rRNA from 1 species
CCUACGGGAGGCAGCAGUGGGGAAUAUUGCACAAUGGGGGAAACCCUGAUGCAGCGACGCCGCGUGAAGGAUGAAGUAUUUCGGUAUGUAAACUUCUAUCAGCAGGGAAGAAAAUGACGGUACCUGACUAAGAAGCCCCGGCUAACUACGUGCCAGCAGACGCGGUAAUACGUAGGGGGCAAGCGUUAUCCGGAUUUACUGGGUGUAAAGGGAGCGUAGACGGUAUGGCAAGUCUGAUGUGAAAACCCGGGGCUCAACCCCGGGACUGCAUUGGAAACUGCCGAACUAGCGUGUCGGAGAGGCAAGUGGAAUUCCUAGUGUAGCGGUGAAAUGCGUAGAUAUUAGGAGGAACACCAGUGGCGAAGGCGGCUUGCUGACGAUGACUGACGUUGAGGCUCGAAAGCGUGGGGAGCAAACAGGAUUAGAUACCCGAGUAGUC